UGAGUUUAGUGAUGGCUCUGAAUAAAUACUGUCCAAAUGUCUGACACAUGCUAAUCGAACGUUUAAUAAAUUAAUUUUAUUAAAAGUGGUGAACAGGUGAGUAUUAUAUUAUUAGUAUACCUUAAGGUACGGAAAGAAAAUUCCGUAUAUUAAUAAAGGAAAAUCCGCCUUAAGAAAAUUAGAUAAUAAAUAGAGAUAGGUAGUUGUUAAGGUAAUGGCUUAACUAGCCAAGGAUUCUCUUAGUUGAGACUGAAAAAGGUUAAUCAACCACAUUGGGGAUGAAAAAAUCUCAAGACAAUAAAGUACAGCAGUGAAGAAUUUUGGUCAAUAGCCUAACGGCGGAACUGGCAACUUGGAGGAAUGGCCUAUAAUUUAAUAUGUUUGAGUGUUAAAUUAAAUAGAUUGAAAAGGUUAAAUCGUAUUGCGAAUAAAAUUCUAAAUAUAUAUAUUAUAGUGACAAUGUAUAUUUAUGUCUUGACUAAAUUACGUGCCAGCAGUCGCGGUAAUACGUAAGAGACUAGUAUUAUUCAUCAUCAAUAGGUUUAAAGGGUACCCAGACGGAAGAAAUUACCUAAAAUAGGAAUUAUUUCUAUCUAGAGUUUAAUGUGAAAAGGUAGUAUCUACGGAGUAAAGUAAGAAAUAAAAUUCUGUGAUCCCAAUGUAGACUGGUAAGCGAAAGCAGCCUUUUAUGUAAAAACUGACGUUGAAGGACGGAGGCUAAGCUAAUAAAGAGGAUUAGAAACCCUCGUAAUCUUAGCAGUAAAUUAUGAAUGUCAUAAAAAAAGAAUAUUUUUUUAUAAAUGAAAGUGUAAACAUUUCACCUUAAGAGUAAUGUGGCAACGCAGGAACUGAAAUCACUAGUCCGUUUCUGACACCAGUAGUGAAGUAUGUUGUUUAAUUCGAUGAUCCACGAAAAACCUCACCACAAAUUGAAUUAUUUAUAUAUUAAAUGUAAAAUUAGUAUAUAAAUAACAAGUGUUGCAUGGCUGUUUUAAAUUAAUGUUGCGAAACUACAGCGAUAGUUGUAAAAUUGAUAUGAACCCUUACCUUAUUUAUAUAAUUUUUUUAUAAGGUUUUUAUCUUUAUUUGAUAAAAUAAACAGGGACUAAGACAAGUCAUCAUGGCCUUUAUAUUGUGGGCUACAGACGUGCCGCAUGUAUCUAGACAAAGAGAUGCAAAAAUUAAAAUUUAAGCUAAUCUCUAAAAUAGAAUAAAUAGGAUAAGAAUUGUAGUCUGUAACUCGGCUAUAUGAAUAAGUAAUUGCUAGUAAUCGUGAAUCACCAUGUCACGGUGAAUCCCAUCUCGGUUUGGUACUAACCACUCGUCGCAUGCUGAAAGGAGUGUGUACAAUAAGUUUGCUUACUUAUUUUAAUAAAUUAAAAAACAAGGUUUUGAUUUUAUAAUAGGUUUCUUCAUAUGUACACUUCUAAUUAGUGUUAAGUCGAAAUACGGUUCGUGUAGCGGAAGUUGCACGGGAAAAAUGGU
rnacentral:rRNA from 1 species